rnacentral:snoRNA from 1 species
CUUUGGUGAUGAUAAGAUGACGAGUCAGAAGUGGGUGGCUCCUGUUGCGGUACCUCUGCAGCGUCAUGUUCUGUAGCAGGAGCCUCCUGUCACCAUUGAACGAUUUAGAGGCAUUUGUCUGAGAAGG